rnacentral:rRNA from 1 species
CAGUAGCACGGUAAUACGAAGGGUGCAAGCGUUACUCGGAAUUACUGGGCGUAAAGCGUGCGUAGGUGGUGGUUUAAGUCCGUUGUGAAAGCCCUGGGCUCAACCUGGGAAUUGCAGUGGAUACUGGGUCACUAGAGUGUGGUAGAGGAUAGUGGAAUUUCCGGUGUAGCAGUGAAAUGCGUAGAGAUCGGAAGGAACAUCUGUGGCGAAGGCGACUAUCUGGGCCAACACUGACACUGAGGCACGAAAGCGUGGGGAGCAAACAGGAUUAGAUACCCCUGUAGUCCCUGUCUCUUAUACC